AGUCCCUUUCUUAUCGCAAUACAAUAGAGUCUGGGGAGCCCUGACUGGGGGUGAGAAUCAGGAAGGUGUACCGUGGAUUGUGUAACCACCCAUCUAUCCUGUGAGCUGGCUGAGAUUUCUCAAGAAGAUCUGGAGGCCAGGUACCAGUAAUGUAAUAAUGCUUCCGAGUUUAUGGUUUCUGAAAAUGUCUGAACUUAUGGGAGUCAUUAGAUUUAGUUGAGAUGUGAUCAGCUUUCUGGGAAUAUGGAUCACCAAGUUAGUUACCUCCAAUCGAUCUGAUGGAUUUCUAAAUGGAUGAUGAUAAGCAGGUGAGUUAUUUAGGAGGUUGGGCAAAUGUUGAUCCCCACUUCCAAUAAAAAUCAACAGACACAAAUUGAAGGUACUUCAGUGGAAAUAUUGUACCUAUUUUCUCAACUAUUCAGCUACAUCAAAUGAAAAGAAAUCAUGGAUGUGGCUGUUGAAUGAUAAAAUCUGAAUUCAAAUAGAGCUAGAGAAACUUACAGGUUCAAAAUGUUUGAAAAGCAGUACUGUUCUCAAAGGCAAAAGUAACCCAGGUGCUAACCUGGCUUAACGAUGACCAUUUUAGUGCAGUCCUCAUGAUCACCAACCAUUUAUGGUGUGGGUGGGGAAAGCCAAACUUCUUUCUGCUCUUCCUUUUUUUUUUUUUUUUUUUACAAUUUCUUAAUAUUAGAUUACUUCAUUUCCGGGGGAAUUAAUCUUGAGGAAUGAUUUGGUUAUAUGUUAGAUCUUAUAUAACUGUUUAUGUGAUUACUCUCAUAUAUGGCAUAUAUCAUACUAUUUAACUCUAUAUGAGCAUCUCUAAUAAUCCCACUUGCAGGAUUAUCACUCCUUCAAGCUGAAUUCUAUUCUCAGUAUCUAGGAGAUUACUUAUAAAUAGUAGGCUCUUAUGAGGUUAAUAUAUGGCUCGGUGUCAACCAAUUACUAUGCCAACGUAUUCUUUUAAAGAGCAACUUUAUUGAGAUAGAAUUUUCAUUUUCAUGAAAUGCACUUUUUCAAAUGCACAAUUCAGCACCUUCUAGCAUCUCAAAAGAACUCUCAUACCUAUUAGCAUUCAUUCUCUCCUUCUCUUAGGCUCUAACAAACACUAAUGAACUCUGGAUUUGCCUAUUCUGGACAUUUCAUACUAUUAUAAGCAAACAGUAUGUGAUCUUUUCUUUUUAGUUCUCUUCAUUUAGCAUAUUUUAAUGAUUCAUCAAUGUAGUAUCAUGAAUUAAUACUUCAUUGAUUUAUGGAGAAUCUCAUUAUGUAAGCCAGGAUGACCUCAAAUUAGCAAUCCUUCUGAAUUUCCUUCUCAGAGCUGACAUUACAGACACCCAAACUGUGCCCAGCAGCUCAUUCUUUUUCUUAUGGCUGAAUUACGUCCCACUGUAUGGGUAUAGCACAGUGCAUAUACCUUCACCAGCUCACAAAUACUUGGGAUGUUUCUACUUUGUGACUGUUACAAAUAAUGCUACUGUAAGAUUAAAAAAUAAAUUUUACUUACACAUAUGUUUUCGGCUCCUUUGGGUAUAAACCUAUGAGUUUAUACUGACAAAAAAUACUGUGUAUUAUAUGAUUCUAGCAGCAUAUACAGUGCACAAUAGGCAGAUGUAUACAAAUAAAGUACAUUAGUGUUAGCUAGGGCCUGAGAGGAUAGAGGGUUGCUUUUUGAGACAGUAAGUCAUUGGGUCAACUGUCAACAGUUUUUAAGGAAAUACCAAUCUGUUAAAAAACAAAAAGCUAUACUAGUUUAUUAUCCCACAGCAGUUCAGUUUUCUAUGUCCUGGCCAAUGCUGAUUAAUAGCUAUGUUUUGUUAUAGCCAUUCUGAUGUGUGUGAAGUAGUAUAUCAAUGUGUUUUUUUUUACUUGUGUCUCCUUGAUUAAUAAUGAUCUUUU